rnacentral:rRNA from 1 species
AUGGCCAGCGACGACGAGUCCUACCUCUACUACGACGAGGACGACGAGGAGGAGGACGGGCUGGAGGCGGACGAGGACGACGUCGGGCUGUUCGAGGACGCCGCGCCGCAGCCGGAGCACCGCGCGGACCACUGGGCCAUCACGAGAAAGUCCCUAUCAGCUGCCCAGCAACAAGAUGUGUCCAUGGUCAUGAACUUGGUGAACUUAGAGCGGCACAACGCCCGCGCUCUUCUCAUGCACCACCGGUGGAAGAUGGACCGCAUCCACGACUUCCUCGAGCGCAGGGGGCGCGAGGGAUUGUUCAGGGAGGCAGGAAUUGUGGUGCCGCCGGAGGACAGUAGCACGGCGGCUCGUGCAAGGGUGCCGCCUCACAAGAGGCCCCGAACUGUCACGUGCAACGUCUGCUUUGAGGACGUCUCCCGGCCGUCCGAUGUCUCCACCAUGGACUGUGGGCAUUGCUUCUGCAACGACUGUUGGACGGAGCAUUUCUUCGCGUCCCUAGGCAACGGCAAGAAGCACAUCCACUGCAUGCAAGUGAAGUGCCCGGCCAUCUGUGAUGACGGCACCGUGCGGCGGCUCCUUGGCCGCAAGUACCCUGAUGCCGCCAAGCGCUUCGACAACCUGGUCCUCGACUCGUACCUGGACAACAACGCGUCGGUGAAGUGGUGCCCCAGUGCCCCGCACUGCGGGCGCGCAAUCCGCGUGGUGGACGCCAGCGAGCGGUAUUGCGAGGUGGAGUGCCCCUGCGGCGUGAGCUUCUGCUUCAACUGCGCAGCGCCGGCGCACUCACCGUGCCCAUGCCCCAUGUGGGACAAGUGGGACGCCAAGUUCCGCGGCGAGUCCGAGAACCUCAAGUGGAUCGCCGUCAACACCAAGAGCUGCCCCAAGUGCCUCCGGCCCAUCGAGAAGAAUGGCGGUUGCAACCAUGUCAGCUGCCCAUGCGGCCAGCACCUCUGUUAUGCCUGCGGCGGGCGGCUGGAUUCGCUGCACAACUGCAACCGCUACGACGAGGCCGGGCACGCCAACUACGACAGCAUCAGGCGGCAGAUGCUGCGCUACACGCACUACUGCGACCGGUUCAACGUGCACAUCAACUCGCGCAAGGUGGAGCAGACGGAGCUGUGGCCGGCCAUCCAGAAGAGAGCCGUGCUGCUGGAGUCGGCCACCGCCAUCCGGCCGCUCAUCCGGGAGGCCAGCUGGAUGGCCCGCGCGCACCGGGCCCUGCUGGCGUCGCGCCUGGUGCUGGCCCGCUCCUACGCCUUCGCCUACUACAUGUUCGGCGACGAGGUGCGCACCUACCCGUCGGAGAAGGCCAACCUGCCCAUCGCCAAGGUCCUGUUCGAGGACCAGCAGUGGCAGCUGGAGGAGAACGCCGAGAAGCUGUCCAAGGUGCUCGCCGCCGAGGCCAAGCCCGUCCUGGCCGAGGAGGAGGUCCUCCGGGCCAUGCAGGAGACCUCCAACCUCGCCAAGAUCGUCGACACGCACUGCAGGGAGAUGUACAAGUGCAUCCAGGACGAGCUGCUGCCGCUGCUCCUCGAGCCCAUGACCAUCGCCCCCUAUCGCCCCGAUGGACCCGACAAGGCCAAGGAUCUGCCGGCGCCGUGA